UACGUAGGGGGCAAGCGUUGUCCGGAAUCAUUGGGCGUAAAGCGCGUGUAGGCGGUCCGGUAAGUCCGCUGUGAAAGUCGGGGGCUCAACCCUCGGAUGCCGGUGGAUACUGCCGGGCUAGAGUCCGGAAGAGGCGAGUGGAACUCCUGGUGUAGCGGUGGAAUGCGCAGAUAUCAGGAAGAACACCAACGGCGAAGGCAGCUCGCUGGGACGGUACUGACGCUGAGACGCGAAAGCGUGGGGAGCGAACAGG
rnacentral:rRNA from 1 species